rnacentral:rRNA from 1 species
UAGGGAAUAUUGGACAAUGGGGGCAACCCUGAUCCAGCAAUGCCGCGUGUGUGAAGAAGGUCUUCGGAUUGUAAAGCACUUUCGACGGGGACGAUGAUGACGGUACCCGUAGAAGAAGCCCCGGCUAACUUCGUGCCAGCAGCCGCGGUAAUACGAAGGGGGCUAGCGUUGCUCGGAAUGACUGGGCGUAAAGGGCGUGUAGGCGGUUUACACAGUCAGAUGUGAAAUCCCCGGGCUUAACCUGGGAGCUGCAUUUGAUACGUGUAGACUAGAGUGUGAGAGAGGGUUGUGGAAUUCCCAGUGUAGAGGUGAAAUUCGUAGAUAUUGGGAAGAACACCGGUGGC